rnacentral:rRNA from 1 species
UACGUAGGGAGCAAGCGUUGUCCGGAAUCAUUGGGCGUAAAGCGCGCGUAGGCGGCCCGAUAAGUCCGCUGUAAAAGUCAACGGCUCAACUGUUGAAAGCCGGUGGAUACUGUCGGGCUAGAGUACGGAAGAGGCAAGUGGAAUUCCUGGUGUAGCGGUGGAAUGCGCAGAUAUCAGGAGGAACACCGGUGGCGAAGGCGGCAUCCUGGACCGACACUGACGCUGAGGAGCGAAAGCCAGGGGAGCAAACGGGG